AACGAACGCUGGCGGUGCGCCUAACACAUGCAAGUCGAACGGGGUGCACGGAGCUGAUCGCUUCGGCGUGAAGCACCGUGUUACUUAGUGGCGAAAGGGUAAGUAACACAUGGGUAACCAACCCUUAGGAUCGGGAUACUCCCGAGAAAUCGGGCACAAUACCGAAUAUUAUUCCGGGGUGAAAUUCUCCGGAAUAAAAGCUGCGAGCAAUCGUGGCGCCUAUGGAUGGGCCUGUGCCCUAUCAGCUAGUUGGUGAGGUAACGGCUUACCAAGGCAAAGACGGGUAGCCGGACUGAGAGGUUGAUCGGCCACACUGGAACUGAGACACGGUCCAGACUCCUACGGGAGGCAGCAGUGAGGAAUUUUGCGCAAUGGGCGAAAGCCUGACGCAGCGACACCGCGUGGGGGAAGAAGGCUCUCGGGUUGUAAACCCCUUUCGUGAGGGAAAAAGUCUCGAUUCUGUCGGGAUGAUGGUACCUCGGGAAGAAGCCACGGCUAACUCUGUG
rnacentral:rRNA from 1 species